rnacentral:tRNA from 1 species
AUUUAAAUAGUUUAAAUUGUAGAAAAUUUAAUAUUGAAGAUAUUAAGAUAGGGGUUGCUUUUAAAUA